GAGACCUGAAUGAAUAACAUGUGAUUGCCUACUGUGGGAUGGCAUACUGGAAUUUCUGGCUGUCUUAAGAGGUUAUUGCCAAGAAAAGAGGAGGCAAACGUGUCGAAUGUUUAUCCAACCUGAGCAGGCACGAUGGAUAAUCUUUCAUAUUGAAAAUGCUGUGCUGGGAUAAUCCCUCCAACCCAUCGCCACCCCGGCCACGUUCUUUAUGAUCGGAUUCUCUUUGACCAGCAUGCCUUUCUGUUGCAAGUGACUCACUCUUCGACAGUCUUAAGUGCUACCUCUCCAGGAAAUGCCUCGGUGUAAUUCCAGUGUAUUACAUAAUCACAUCCUCUUUGACCGGCACAACUCUGAUGCAAAUUACUGUUUGAUUUGCCGUAGUCAAAAGUGCUACCUCUUCAAGUACGUCUUUGCCUAAUUCAGGGGCUUUUGAGGCAUGUGCAUAAAAGGUCGAUUUCGAUCCCCACCAGGAGGCAUCAAUUCUUCAGGAACCCCGUCUUGUCAUCUGAUACCUAAGUCGCAGCGUGACCCUAAU
rnacentral:lncRNA from 1 species